rnacentral:rRNA from 1 species
UACGUAGGGCGCAAGCGUUGUCCGGAAUUAUUGGGCGUAAAGAGCUCGUAGGCGGCUUGUCACGUCGGGUGUGAAAGCCCGGGGCUUAACCCCCGGGUCUGCAUUCGAUACGGGCUGGCUAGAGUGUGGUAGGGGAGAUCGGAAUUCCUGGUGUAGCGGUGAAAUGCGCAGAUAUCAGGAGGAACACCGGUGGCGAAGGCGGAUCUCUGGGCCAUUACUGACGCUGAGGAGCGAAAGCGUGGGGAGCGAACAGG